rnacentral:rRNA from 1 species
GAGGUUAAGCGACUAAGCGUACACGGUGGAUGCCCUGGCAGUCAGAGGCGAUGAAGGACGUGCUAAUCUGCGAUAAGCGCCGGUAAGGUGAUAUGAACCGUUAUAACCGGCGAUUUCCGAAUGGGGAAACCCAGUGUGACUCGUCACACUAUCAUUAACUGAAUCCAUAGGUUAAUGAGGCGAACCGGGGGAACUGAAACAUCUAAGUACCCCGAGGAAAAGAAAUCAACCGAGAUUCCCCCAGUAGCGGCGAGCGAACGGGGAGGAGCCCAGAGCCUGAAUCAGCAUGUGUGUUAGUGGAAGCGUCUGGAAAGGCGCGCGAUACAGGGUGACAGCCCCGUACACAAAAGCGCAUGUGCUGUGAGCUCGAUGAGUAGGGCGGGACACGUGGUAUCCUGUCUGAAUAUGGGGGGACCAUCCUCCAAGGCUAAAUACUCCUGACUGACCGAUAGUGAACCAGUACCGUGAGGGAAAGGCGAAAAGAACCCCGGCGAGGGGAGUGAAAAAGAACCUGAAACCGUGUACGUACAAGCAGUGGGAGCACCCUUUGGGGUGUGAC